UACGUAGGGGGCAAGCGUUGUCCGGAAUUAUUGGGCGUAAAGGGCUCGUAGGCGGUUUCUUAAGUCUGAUGUGAAAGCCCACAGCUCAACUGUGGAGGGUCAUUGGAAACUGGGGAACUUGAGUGCAGAAGAGGAGAGUGGAAUUCCACGGUGUAGCGGUGAAAUGCGUAGAUAUGUGGAGGAACACCAGUGGCGAAGGCGACUCUCUGGUCUG
rnacentral:rRNA from 1 species